rnacentral:sRNA from 1 species
UUUUUUUUUUUUAUGUCUAGCAUGCCUGUAAGUUCAGUAUGCAUAUGAUCAGGUGACUCCACUAUAUUUUAUUGGGUUCCUUGGUUCUACUCUUUCUUUGGCUAAAACUAUUGAGCAUAUAUUGAAGGGCUUGAAAGUCAAUCCAUUCAGGAUUCCUCAGGGUAGAUAGUUUUCUCUUUAUAGGGCUUUCACUUUUUCUUGAUGUUGAAUUCCCCUUACCUAUGCCAAGUUUCUGACUGUAGCAUCCCUGACACCAAGAGUGACUAAUCCCUCUGUUUUCCAGCUUUCUGAGACCAAGAUCUUCACUGCCUCUAACGUGUCUUCAGUGCCUCUGCCUGCGGAGAAUGUGACAAUCACUGCUGGUCAGAGAAUUGACCUUGCUGUUCUGCUGGGGAAGACACCAUCUACAAUGGAGAAUGAUUCAUCUAAUCUGGAUCCGUCUCAGGCUCCUUCUCUGGCCCAGCCUCUGGUGUUCAGUAAUUCGAAGCAGACUGCCAUAUCACAGCCUGCUUCAGGGAACACAUUUUCUCAUCACAGUAUGGUGAGCAUGUUAGGGAAAGGAUUUGGUGAUGUUGGUGAAGCUAAAGGCGGCAGUACUACGGGCUCCCAGUUCUUGGAGCAAUUCAAGACUGCCCAAGCCCUGGCUCAGUUGGCAGCUCAGCAUUCUCAGUCUGGAAGCACCACCACCUCCUCUUGGGACAUGGGCUCGACGACACAAUCCCCAUCACUGGUGCAGUAUGAUUUGAAGAACCCAAGUGAUUCAACAGUGCACAGCCCCUUUACAAAGCGCCAGGCUUUUA